UACGGAGGGUGCAAGCGUUAUCCGGAUUCACUGGGUUUAAAGGGUGCGUAGGUGGGAAUGUAAGUCAGUGGUGAAAUCUCCGUGCUUAACAUGGAAACUGCCAUUGAUACUAUGUUUCUUGAAUUUUCUGGAGGUAAGCGGAAUAUGUCAUGUAGCGGUGAAAUGCUUAGAUAUGACAUAGAACACCGAUUGCGAAGGCAGCUCACUAAGCCAUAACUGACGCUGAUGCACGAAAGCGUGGGGAGCAAACAGG
rnacentral:rRNA from 1 species